rnacentral:lncRNA from 1 species
UCAUUUGUCCAAACAUUAGAAAAGGCUAACAGCUGCCAAAGAUACAAAGCACAUCCCUGUUGAUUUUGAAUCUGAGUGCAUUUUUUUUUUUUAUUUUUUUUCAGAAAAGCUGGUGAGCUUCCUGGUAACUAUUUUCUGCAGCUCUGGGCAUGUUCGCUUCCUAAGACUCUGCAGUUCAGUGCUCCCUGGGACAGUGCAGGGGACACAUACAUCCCAUGCAAAUCCCCUGUGGGAUGAACCCCAAUGUGGUUCAUGUUCCUGGCUUGGCACCUUAAAACCCAGGCAAGGCUGAGAAAACUAUGAAGAAGUGACUAUGGACGGGUCUUGGGGAUGCUGGAGACUUCAGCACCGUGUCACAGCAUGAUUCCCAUCUCUCUCACGCUAACGGGAAUGUUGCAGCCACACAUCUGGAUACAGCUUGCCAGGGAAAGGCUCUCAAGCCUGCAGAUGUGAGACAGGUUCUCUGCAAAGCACAAGGGUAAUGGUGAGGGGAUUGAAAUGAGCAGGGCAUUUAACUGACAGCUUUGUUUGCACUUGAUAAAGCAAACAGCACCAUAGCAAGCCAUUUGGUAUCUAAUGCACUGUUUGUUUCUUCUAUUCAAACAAGGGAGAAAGUGGAGGAGGCUAUGAGAUCCAAAGCUCAUGGUGGCUCAAGGUGUUCAACUGGAUCCAUAACGAGAAGAACACAUUGGUUACAGUAGGCUAACAGACAUGAAAAAAUGCAGUUUUGCCACAUCAAUACAGACCUAGUCAAUUGUUUUAGUUUGGGAGGCUUGCCCUAAGGUUGUAGCCAGAUCUCUGUCAAAGUCCUUUCCAAACACGCUACUCAUAAUACUGUGUAAAAGUUGUUCAAACAAUAUUUAACAGUCCUCAGAGUCUGCAUAACAAUCAACUUUGCACAGAAAAAAUAAGAUCUGUGCAAGAUAAAUCUGAGCUAUGCAUUGUAUAAAUGUUACAAAUUGUCUAAGUGACUACAUAUCCUCUGAUUAGCAAAAAUCACACUUGUUCUGUCAAAAUAUUUGCUUCCAUAUAUGGGGAAUAAAGAUGCACCCUGGGCAAAGCA